rnacentral:rRNA from 1 species
GCUGGUUCUUUACUGGACAUGUGCACACCUGUCAUCUUUAUAUCUCCACCUGUGCACUUUUUGUAGACUUGGACAAAUUUCUUAAUGCUAGCAUUAAGGUUUUGGGAUUGACUUUUCAAAAGUCUUUCCUUUUAUUUCUAGGUCUAUGUUUAUCCAUAUACCCUAAUGCAUGUUAUAGAAUGUAAUAAUUGGGCCUCUGUGCCUAUAACACUAUACAACUUUCAGCAACGGAUCUCUUGGCUCUCGCAUCGAUGAAGAACGCAGCGAAAUGCGAUAAGUAAUGUGAAUUGCAGAAUUCAGUGAAUCAUCGAAUCUUUGAACGCACCUUGCGCUCCUUGGUAUUCCGAGGAGCAUGCCUGUUUGAGUGUCAUUAAUAUAUCAACCUCUUCAGCUUUUGGCUUGUUGGGUGUUGGAUGUGGGGGUCUUUUGCUGGUCUUUUAAAAGAGGUCAGCUCCCCUAAAAUGUAUUAGCGGAACAAUUUGUUGACCGUUUAUUGGUGUGAUAAUUAUCUACNCUAUUAACGUGAGGCAGUUCAGCUUCUANCAGUCCAUUGACUUGGACAGUUUUUUCAUUAAUGUGACCUCAAAUCAUGUANGACUACCCGCUGAACUUAA